rnacentral:rRNA from 1 species
CAACCUGCCCUUUACUCCGGGAUAGUCUCCUGAAAGGGAGUUUAAUACCGGAUGUGUUUGUCUUUCCGCAUGGGAGCGACAAAUAAAGAUUGAUUGNUAAAGGAUGGGGAUGCGUCCCUUUAGCUUGNUGGCGGGGUAACGGCCCACCAAGGCGACGAUGGGUAGGGGUUCUGAGAGGAANGUCCCCCACAUUGGAACUGAGACACGGUCCAAACUCCUACGGGAGGCAGCAGUGAGGAAUAUUGGUCANUNGGCGGGAGCCUGAACCAGCCAAGUAGCGUGAAGGAUGACGGCCCUACGGGUUGUAAACUUCUUUUAUAANGGAAUAAAGUUCGCCACGUGUGGUGUUUUGUAUGUACCUUAUGAAUAAGCAUCGGCUAAUUCCGUGGCAGCAGCCGCGGUAAUACGGAAGAUGCGAGCGUUAUCCGGAUUUAUUGGGUUUAAAGGGAGCGUAGGCGGGCUUUUAAGUCAGCGGUCAAAUGCCACGGCUCAACCGAGGCCAGCCGUUGAAACUGCAAGCCUUGAGUCUGCACAGGGCACAUGGAAUUCGUGGUGUAGCGGUGAAAUGCUUAGAUAUCACGAAGAACUCCGAUUG